CUGGUUGAUCCUGCCAGUAGUCAUAUGCUUGUCUCAAAGAUUAAGCCAUGCAUGUCUAAGCACAAGCCCUUGAAUGGCAAAGCCGCACAUGGCUCAUUACAACAGCCAUAGUUUAUUAGAUCGUACUUUCCUACUUGGAUAACUGUGGUAAUUCUAGAGCUAAUACACGCAGCAAAGCUCGGACUCACGAACGAGCGCAUUUAUUAGAGCAAAACCAAUCGGGUUUCGGCCCGUCCUUUGGUGAAUCUGAAUAACUCUGCAGAUCGCACGGUCUCGCACCGGCGACGCAUCUUUCAAAUGUCUGCCUUAUCAACUUUCGAUGGUAGUUUAUACGCCUACCAUGGUUGUAACGGGUAACGGAGAAUAAGGGUUCGACUCCGGAGAGGGAGCCUGAGAAACGGCUACCACAUCCAAGGAAGGCAGCAGGCACGCAAAUUACCCACUCCCGGCACGGGGAGGUAGUGACGAAAAAUAACGAGGCGGUUCUCUACGAGGCCCGCCAUCGGAAUGGGUACAAUUUAAAUCCUUUAACGAGGAUCUAUUGGAGGGCAAGUCUGGUGCCAGCAGCCGCGGUAAU
rnacentral:rRNA from 1 species